rnacentral:rRNA from 1 species
GAUGAACGCUAGCGGCGUGCCUAAUACAUGCAAGUCGAGCGAACAGACGAGGAGCUUGCUCCUCUGACGUUAGCGGCGGACGGGUGAGUAACACGUGGAUAACCUACCUAUAAGACUGGGAUAACUUCGGGAAACCGGAGCUAAUACCGGAUAAUAUAUUGAACCGCAUGGUUCAAUAGUGAAAGACGGUUUUGCUGUCACUUAUAGAUGGAUCCGCGCCGCAUUAGCUAGUUGGUAAGGUAACGGCUUACCAAGGCAACGAUGCGUAGCCGACCUGAGAGGGUGAUCGGCCACACUGGAACUGAGACACGGUCCAGACUCCUACGGGAGGCAGCAGUAGGGAAUCUUCCGCAAUGGGCGAAAGCCUGACGGAGCAACGCCGCGUGAGUGAUGAAGGUCUUCGGAUCGUAAAACUCUGUUAUUAGGGAAGAACAAAUGUGUAAGUAACUAUGAACGUCUUGACGGUACCUAAUCAGAAAGCCACGGCUAACUACG